rnacentral:rRNA from 1 species
UACGGGGGGAGCAAGCGUUGUUCGGAUUCACUGGGCGUAAAGGGUGCGUAGGCGGUCGGGUAAGUCUGACGUGAAAUCUUCAAGCUCAACUUGGAAACUGCGUCGGAUACUAUUCGGCUAGAGGAAUGGAGGGGAGACUGGAAUACUUGGUGUAGCAGUGAAAUGCGUAGAUAUCAAGUGGAACACCAGUGGCGAAGGCGAGUCUCUGGACAUUUCCUGACGCUGAGGCACGAAAGCCAGGGGAGCAAACGGG